GCUGUGGAACUCCUACGGGAGGCAGCAGUGGGGAAUUUUGGACAAUGGGGGCAACCCUGAUCCAGCAAUGCCGCGUGAGUGAAGAAGGUCUUCGGAUUGUAAAGCACUUUAAGUUGGGAGGAAGGGCAGUUACCUAAUACGUGAUUGUUUUGACGUUACCGACAGAAUAAGCACCGGCUAACUCUGUGCCAGCAGCCGCGGUAAUACAGAGGGUGCAAGCGUUAAUCGGAAUUACUGGGCGUAAAGCGCGCGUAGGUGGUUUGUUAAGUUGGAUGUGAAAUCCCCGGGCUCAACCUGGGAACUGCAUUCAAAACUGACUGACUAGAGUAUGGUAGAGGGUGGUGGAAUUUCCUGUGUAGCGGCGAAAUGCGUAGAUAUAGGAAGGAACACCAGUGGCGAAGGCGACCACCUGGACUAAUACUGACACUGAGGUGCGAAAGCGUGGGGAGCAAACAGGAUUAGAAACCCCAGUAGUCCUACCACGU
rnacentral:rRNA from 1 species